rnacentral:rRNA from 1 species
GUGGGGAAUAUUGGACAAUGGGCGAAAGCCUGAUCCAGUCAUGCCGCGUGUGUGAAGAAGGUCUUCGGAUUGUAAAGCACUUUAAGUUGGGAGGAAGGGCAGUAAGUUAAUACCUUGCUGUUUUGACGUUACCAACAGAAUAAGCACCGGCUAACUUCGUGCCAGCAGCCGCGGUAAUACGAAGGGUGCAAGCGUUAAUCGGAAUUACUGGGCGUAAAGCGCGCGUAGGUGGUUCAGCAAGUUGAAGGUGAAAUCCCCGGGCUCAACCUGGGAACUGCCUCCAAAACUACUGAGCUAGAGUACGGUAGAGGGUAGUGGAAUUUCCUGUGUAGCGGUGAAAUGCGUAGAUAUAGGAAGGAACACCAGUGGCGAAGGCGACUACCUGGACUGAUACUGACACUGAGGUGCGAAAGCGUGGGGAGCAAACAGGAUUAGAAACCCCUGUAGUCC